rnacentral:rRNA from 1 species
AGAAUCAACGCUGGCGGCGUGCCUAACACAUGCAAGUCGAGCGCGAAAGGGGAGCAAUCCCCGAGUAGAGCGGCGAACGGGUGAGUAACGCGUGGGUAAUCUACCUCCGAGUGGGGAAUAACAGCGGGAAACUGCUGCUAAUACCGCAUGACAUCGUCGAGCCUUCGGGCCUGACGAUCAAAGCCGGGGACCGCAAGGCCUGGCGCUUGGAGAGGAGCCCGCGUCCGAUUAGCUAGUUGGCGGGGUAAUGGCCCACCAAGGCUCCGAU